GACGAACGCUGGCGGCGUGCCUAAUACAUGCAAGUUGAGCGCUGAAGGUUGGUACUUGUACCAACUGGAUGAGCAGCGAACGGGUGAGUAACGCGUGGGGAAUCUGCCUUUGAGCGGGGGACAACAUUUGGAAACGAAUGCUAAUACCGCAUAAAAACUUUAAACACAAGUUUUAAGUUUGAAAGAUGCAAUUGCAUCACUCAAAGAUGAUCCCGCGUUGUAUUAGCUAGUUGGUGAGGUAAAGGCGCACCAAGGCGAUGAUACAUAGCCGACCUGAGAGGGUGAUCGGCCACAUUGGGACUGAGACACGGCCCAAACUCCUACGGGAGGCAGCAGUAGGGAAUCUUCGGCAAUGGACGAAAGUCUGACCGAGCAACGCCGCGUGAGUGAAGAAGGUUUUCGGAUCGUAAAACUCUGUUGGUAGAGAAGAACGUUGGUGAGAGUGGAAAGCUCAUCAAGUGACGGUAACUACCCAGAAAGGGACGGCUAACUACGUG
rnacentral:rRNA from 1 species